rnacentral:rRNA from 1 species
CCUACGGGAGGCUGCAGUGGGGAAUAUUGGACAAUGGGCGAAAGCCUGAUCCAGCCAUGCCGCGUGUGUGAAGAAGGCCUUCGGGUUGUAAAGCACUUUCAGUGGGGAAGAAAGCCUUGGGUCUAAUACCCUCGAGGAAGGACAUCACCCACAGAAGAAGCACCGGCUAACUCCGUGCCAGCAGCCGCGGUAAUACGGAGGGUGCGAGCGUUAAUCGGAAUUACUGGGCGUAAAGCGCGCGUAGGCGGUCUGAUAAGCCGGUUGUGAAAGCCCCGGGCUCAACCUGGGAACGGCAUCCGGAACUGUCAGGCUAGAGUGCAGGAGAGGAAGGUAGAAUUCCCGGUGUAGCGGUGAAAUGCGUAGAGAUCGGGAGGAAUACCAGUGGCGAAGGCGGCCUUCUGGACUGACACUGACGCUGAGGUGCGAAAGCGUGGGUAGCAAACAGGAUUAGAUACCCCAGUAGUC